UACGAAGGGAGCUAGCGUUGUUCGGAAUCACUGGGCGUAAAAGCGCACGUAGGCGGAUGUGUCAGUCAGGGGUGAAAUCCCGGAGCUCAACUUCGGAACUGCCUUUGAUACAGCACGUCUUGAGUCCGGAAGAGGUGGGUGGAAUUCCUAGUGUAGAGGUGAAAUUCGUAGAUAUUAGGAAGAACACCGGUGGCGAAGGCGGCCCACUGGUCCGGUACUGACGCUGAGGUGCGAAAGCGUGGGGGAGCAAACAGG
rnacentral:rRNA from 1 species